UACGGGGGGGGCAAGCGUUGUUCGGAAUUACUGGGCGUAAAGGGCUUGUAGGUGGCCAACUAAGUCAGACGUGAAAUCCCUCGGCUUAACCGGGGAACUGCGUCUGAUACUGGAUGGCUGGAGUGUGGGAGAGGAAACAGGAAUUCCUCAUGUAGAGGUGAAAUUCGUAGAUAUGAGGAGGAACACCAGAGGCGAAGGCGAGUUUCUGGAACACUACUGACGCUGAGGCACGAAAGCGUGGGGAGCAAACAGG
rnacentral:rRNA from 1 species